GAUGAAGAACGUAGCGAAAUGCGAUAACUAAUGUGAAUUGCAGAAUUCCGUGAAUCAUCGAGUCUUUGAACGCACAUUGCGCCCCCUGGUAUUCCGGGGGGCAUGCCUGUCCGAGCGUCAUUGCUGCCCAUCAAGCACGGCUUGUGUGUUGGGUCCUCGUCCCCCCCAGGGGACGUGCCCGAAAGGCAGCGGCGGCACCGCGUCCGGUCCUCGAGCGUAUGGGGCUUUGUCACCCGCUCUGCAGGCCCGGCCGGCGCUGGCCGACGCGAAAGCAACCAUUUUUUCUCCAGGUUGACCUCGGAUCAGGUAGGGAUACCCGCUGAACUUAAGCAUAUCAAUAAGCGGAGGA
rnacentral:misc_RNA from 1 species